rnacentral:lncRNA from 1 species
UUCCAGCCAGAAUAACCUUUGUCAUUGUGCAACAGAAGUGUGUUUUUGUUUGCAGUGACGGAGACUCUGGCCUGCUUUGAAGAAGAUGCUCGACGCUUCUUAUUCCCAGAGCCCAAACUGGUUCCCUGCUCCUCUGGAGUGGAUCGAGAGGUUCUGAUGACCCGAGCACCUCACUUUCGAGGAAUCGCUCCGAGGUUGGAGUUUUCCACCAAAACAACCAUCAUUGAGUGCUCAGUCGAUGCAGAGAUGAACAUUUAUCCCAAUGUACUCAUGAGGCCAGUGAUAAAGAGGAGCAGGAAACACUCCAGCAGACCCAGGAGCUCUUCUCCUCAGGGGAAACAACCUCAAACUCUUGGAAUGAGACGAGGUGGCAGGACGUGCACAGAAAGACGCAGCAGCGCCUGGUCACCUUCUUACAUUCCCAGACCCCAUUCCCUGUCCCCUCUAAGAGCUGGAAACACACAGAGGAAACACUCUACAGCUCCCGGCCCAGCAGACUGGGACACUCGCCACACCUCUCAGCCUAUGCUGGCUUCGUGGCCUGGAGCCAGUCGUACUGCCACUCGUUCUGCCUCUUCAGUGUUUAUCAACUCCUCUUCACCUUUGACCAGGUCUUCAUUCAGAGUGAGAUAUUCUCCAACUGUCAGAAGAAAAUCUUUAUCCAAUGGUUUGGUUGGAGGGAUGUCAGAAGACGACUCCAGCUCUUCAGAAAUGCAUGACCCCAUUGACAAACACCAAGUUCCUGACCCUUCAAGGCUGUGGCGGUCUUAUAGGGAACAGGCCAGGCACAGCAGGUCUCAGUCCAGCUCUCACAGAGAAUGGGAAGAGGUCCAAGAGCGUGUUCGGGGACUCCUUACAACACCAAAAGCUGUACGCCGACUUGUCUAUGGGGCCACACACUGCGAGAUAGAUGAGGUUUUAGCCAGGAGGUCCUUCUCUCCGGGUCCACCGUGAUGACCUGUCCCCAGGCUCUGGAAAAGUGACGUGGACUUGUUCUAUCUCCAUGAGUUUCACAUUUUACAUUUUAAAACGCUGCCUCAUUGAGACAAUUAAAAUGCAACAUUUUAAUAUUCAUUUGAUUCUGGUUAGAGACCUUUUCUGGGAACUAUACAAUAAGGCAAACAAUAAAAAAUAAAAAAUGUCUUGAUACAAAAAUUGUAACCGUGUAUUCUGUCAUUCUGCCAUUAUAGAUG